rnacentral:lncRNA from 1 species
AGCAGAGAGGAGACACAGAUGGGCCGUGGGAGAAGAGAGAUAGGAGGGCAGAGGCGAUCGCCGGUGCAAGCAGGAAAUGCCUUCGCCUCCUCCUGCGGGUUUGCAAAGAGCUCUGAAAAGCAAUUGAACAAUAACUAGGACAGAAGUAGAACAGAAGGAUGCAGAUACAGAGGGGUCAACUCUAUACAUGAGGAUCAGCAACACAGAGGAAAUGGUAGUGAAGAGCUGUGAGUAAGCAAUCCUCUCGUCGCAUAGUCAUGGCUAUAUCCAUUGUCAUGCUGCCAUAUGGUCCCCACCACGAUGGACUGCAUAUCCUCAAACCACGAGCUGGAUGGACUAAACGUCUCCACCUCUCUAUUGGUUUUUGCCAGGGUCCUUGAACGGCUCUCUAAAACCUCACCUCUGAUGUUCUCCUACUUCAUGUCGCAACAGGAGAGACCUGAACAGAGCCCUUCUGCACUCCACGAAACACCUGCCUUCCUUUUCAGGACUUCCAUUUCGGUACAGCUGGAAAUAGCCUUGCUGAAUUAAGAGGCACACGAUUUUAAAAUCCAAGGACAUUUUCUUCAAUUUGUACUUCACAAGUAUGUGGGAUAAUUCUCUAGAGCCCCUGCUCUUCAAACAAACAGAACUGGCAUCUUCUGUGAACUCGAAAGGGCGGAACGGUCCCAGGCUCCAUCUAGACUCAUUGAAUGAGACUUUGCUGUUGAAUCAGCUUCCCCAGUGACACAUAAUUCUUAAAUUUGAUAAACAGCCUUCUCUAUAGUUCUUUGCCUGCUCAAAUGGGGGCAUUCGUAAACUUUAAAUAUUGUGUUGUUUAUUUCUCUUUAUUUAAAGAGCAUCGGUACACUAUUACUUUAAUACCAUUUUUCCAGAAUAUUUCCUUAAUCACCCUUAAGUGCAGAGGGUGAUAAUUUAUAGCAUUUACCUUUAUGAAUGUGAAAAUAUUUUUCACUGUACUAAUAUUUAUCAUAUCUUUCAUUUUCCAAGAUUCCUUUGAGGCAUCUGAAGGUGUUUUGGAAAGUUCCUGCGCUGGUCCUUCUGUUUCCUGGGACAUAAGUUAUCUGGGCUGGGAGAUAUAUAUUUAUUGAACAGACCUCUAGGUGAUCCUGCAGACCCGUGGUUCUCAUCCUCUGGGUCAUGACCUCCUUGGUGUGUGGGGGGAGUGGAAUGACCCUUUCCCUGGGGGCUCUUAAGACCAUCGGGAAACACAGACAUUUAAAUUAAAGUUCAUAACAGUAGCAAAAUUACAGUUAUGAAAUUGCAAUGAAGAUAACUUUGUGGUUGGGGGUCACCACCACACUAGGAACUGGCUUAAAGGGCUGCAGCAUUAGGAAGGUUGAGAACUACUCCUGUAGACCAAAAGGAUAUUUGAGAUGUCCAUAUUCUACUUUUGUACACAGCUGCUUGCAGGGAGAAUCUAGCAGAUGACUAUAGAUCCCACACUUUAAUUUUGUUGGUUGUUUCCUCCGUUGAGGCUGCCCCUUCUGUCUUGUGCUGAGAUCCAUGUAUCAAAGCAAAGAGCCUUCCUGUUCUGGCUGGAGGUGUAGGGAGGAACCCAGAGCUGUGAUUGCUCCCCGCUUAGUGCCUAUCUGACCCUGAAUAUGCCAUCUUUUGAGUCAAUCUUUGAUGUUUUGUGCCACUUAUGAAUGUUUAUUCAUCACCCCUCAGAGAUUACAUUUUCCAUAGGUCAGUUUGCUUACCCCUCAGAGCAUCUCUCUCCUGUGCUUACAUGGCCAUUUUCCAGAAUGGAAAUUUGAGAAUCAAAUAAACAAUGGAAAAUGGUGAAAAA